AUUGAACGCUGGCGGCAGGCCUAACACAUGCAAGUCGAACGAGUGGCGGACGGGUGAGUAAUGUCUGGGAAACUGCCUGAUGGAGGGGGAUAACUACUGGAAACGGUAGCUAAUACCGCAUACCAUCAGAUGUGCCCAGAUGGGAUUAGCUUGUUGGUGGGGUAACGGCUCACCAAGGCGACGAUCCCUAGCUGGUCUGAGAGGAUGACCAGCCACACUGGAACUGAGACACGGCCCAGACUCCUACGGGAGGCAGCAGUGGGGAAUAUUGGACAAUGGGCGAAAGCCUGAUCCAGCAAUGCCGCGUGAGUGAUGAAGGCCCUAGGGUUGUAAAGCUCUUUUACCCGGGACUGUACCGGGAGAAUAAGCCCCGGCUAACUCCGUGCCAGCCGCCGCGGUAAUAC
rnacentral:rRNA from 1 species